AUGAUCCAGAGUAGCACGGGACACGUGAAACCCUGUGGGAAGCAGGAGGGACCACCCUCCAAGGCUAAAUACUACCUAGUGACCGAUAGCGUAUAGUACCGUGAGGGAAAGGUGAAAAGAACCCCGGGAGGGGAGUGAAAUAGAACCUGAAACCCUGCACUUACAAGCUGUGGAAGCACAUUUCUUGUGUGACCGCGUACUUUUUGUAGAACGGGCCAACGAGUUACGUUAAGUAGCAAGGUUAAGCACUUAAGGUGCGGAGCCGUAGCGAAAGCGAGUUUUAACUGAGCGUUCAGUUACUUGACGUAGACCCGAAACCGGGCGACCUACCCAUGAGCAGGAUGAAGCGAAAGUAAAAUUUCGUGGAGGUCCGAACCCACGAGCGUUGAAAAGCUCGGGGAUGACUUGUGGGUAGCGGUGAAAUUCCAAUCGAGCCCGGAGAUAGCUGGUUCUCCCCGAAAUAGCUUUAGGGCUAGCCUCAAGGUGAGAGAUACGGAGGUAGAGCACUGAAUGUCCUAGGGGGUAUUGCACCUACCGAAGACUAUCAAACUCCGAAUGCCGUCAUCUUAUACUUGGGAGUCAGACUGUGGGUGAUAAGAUUCAUAGUCGAAAGGGCAACAGCCCAGAUCGUCAGCUAAGGUCCCUAAAUGUAAGUUAAGUGGUAAAGGAUGUGGGAUUGCACAGACAACCAGGAUGUUGGCUUAGAAGCAGCCACUCAUUCAAAGAGUGCGUAAUAGCUCACUGGUCGAGUGAUCCUGCGCCGAAGAUUUCCGGGGCUAAAACUUACUACCGAAGCUACGGCAUCAGUAAUGAUGGGUAGGGGAGCUUCCCAUACGGGUUGAAGCAUGACCGUAAGGACAUGUGGACAGUAUGGGAGGUGAGAAUGUUGGCAUGAGUAGCGAGGAUGUGGGUGAGAAUCCCACAGGCCGUAAACCCAAGGUUUCCAGGGGAAGGUUCGUCCGCCCUGGGUUAGUCGGGACCUAAGCUGAAGGCCGAAAGGCGUAGGUGAUGGACAACAGGUUGAUAUUCCCUGUACUACCGAUAACCGUUUGAGAGAAGGGAUGACACAGUAGGAUAAGCUAAGCACACUGUUGGUUAUGUGUGCCCAAGCAUUGAGGCAGUCAAAGUAGGCAAAUCCGCUUUGAUAAUGCUGGGAUGUGAUGGGGAGCGAAAUUUAGUAGCGAAGUAGCUGAUUUCACACUGUCAAGAAAAGUCUCUAUCGAGGUUAAAGGUACCCGUACCGCAAACCGACACAGGUGGGUGAGGAGAGGUAUCCUAAGGCCAGCGAGAGAACUGUUGUUAAGGAACUCGGCAAAAUGACCCCGUAACUUAGGGAUAAGGGGUGCCACCAUCAGGUGGCCGCAGAGAAUAGGCCCAAGCGACUGUUUACCAAAAACAUAGGUUUCUGCUAAGUCGCAAGACGAUGUAUAGAGCUGACGCCUGCCCAGUGCUGGAAGGUUAAGGGGAUCUGUUAGAGCAAUCGAAGCAGUGAACUUAAGCCCCAGUAAACGGCGGCCGUAACUAUAACGGUCCUAAGGUAGCGAAAUUCCUUGUCGGGUAAGUUCCGACCCGCACGAAAGGCGUAACGAUUUGGGCACUGUCUCAACAACAGACUCGGUGAAAUUGUAAUUCCGGUGAAGAUGCCGGAUACCUGCGACAGGACGGAAAGACCCCAUGGAGCUUUACUGUAGCUUGACAUUGGGUCUUGGUACUACAUGUACAGGAUAGGUGGGAGGCUUUGAAACCAGGACGCCAGUUUUGGCGGAGCCAUCCUUGGGAUACCACCCUUUGUAGUACUGGGACUCUAACCAUAGGCCAUGAAUCUGGUCUUGGGACACUGUCAGGUGGGCAGUUUGACUGGGGCGGUCGCCUCCCAAAAGGUAACGGAGGCGCUCAAAGG
rnacentral:rRNA from 1 species